GGGGGUGUAGCUCAGUGGUAGAGCGCUUGCCUAGCAUGCGUGAGGCCGUGGGUUCAACCCCCACCAUCUGUC
rfam:Ictidomys tridecemlineatus contig052339, whole genome shotgun sequence.